AUGCAUGUGUCAGUACAGGCCGCUCUAAGGCGAAACCGCGAAUGGCUCAUUAAAUCAGUUAUGAUUCAUUUGAUCUCACUCCCAUUACUUGGAUAACCCUGGUAAUUCUAGAGCUAAUACGUGACAACAACUACUCCGACUGGAAGGGAGGAGUGCUUUUAUUAGAUGAAAACCAAUCGGGCCUCGGUCCGCCAAACACAAACUGUGCUGAUUCUGAAUAACUUUGUGCCGAGAGCAUGGCCUCCGCGCCGGCUCCGUAUCUUUCGAGUUUCUGCCUUAUCAUGCUGUGGAUUGUAGGCCAUGCGCCUACUGUGGCUGUUACGGGUGACGGAGAAUCAGGGUUCGAUUCCGGAGAGGGAGCCUGAGAAACGGCUACCACA
rnacentral:rRNA from 1 species